rnacentral:rRNA from 1 species
UACGGGGGGGGCAAGCGUUGUUCGGAAUUACUGGGCGUAAAGGGCUCGUAGGCGGCCAACUAAGUCAUACGUGAAAUCCCUCGGCUUAACCGGGGAACUGCGUCUGAUACUGGAUGGCUUGAGUUCGGGAGAGGGAUGCGGAAUUCCUGGUGUAGCGGUGAAAUGCGCAGAUAUCAGGAGGACACCGGUGGCGAAGGCGGGUCUCUGGGCCGAUACUGACGCUGAGGAGCGAAAGCGUGGGGAGCGAACAGG